UUGAAAUAAACCUGAUGGGUUGUAGCUGGCCUCUUGAGGCAUGUGCACACCUUUAUCGUGCAUCUACAUCUCACACCUGUGCACAACCUGUAGCUUGGGAUGAUUACAAUACUGGAAACGGUAUUGAAAGCCCUCGCUAUGAAUUUUUAUACAACCCUAUUAAAAGUUACAGAAUGUUUAAUGUUAUAGCGUGUAACAGCGCAAAUAAAUAUA
rnacentral:misc_RNA from 1 species